UACGAAGGGGGCAAGCGUUGUCCGGAAUUAUUGGGCGUAAAGAGCGUGUAGGCGGUCCGGUAAGUCAGCUGUGAAAGUCAAGGGCUCAACCCUUGAAAGCCGGUUGAUACUGUCGGGCUAGAGUCCGGAAGAGGCGAGUGGAAUUCCCGGUGUAGCGGUGAAAUGCGCAGAUAUCGGGAGGAACACCAAUGGCGAAGGCAGCUCGCUGGGACGGUACUGACGCUGAGACGCGAAAGCGUGGGGAGCAAACAGG
rnacentral:rRNA from 1 species